GACGUAGGGGGCGAGCGUUGUCCGGAUUUAUUGGGCGUAAAGAGCUCGUAGGCGGCUUGUCACGUCGGAUGUGAAAACCCGGGGCUCAACCCCGGGCCUGCAUUCGAUACGGGCAGGCUAGAGUUCGGCAGGGGAGACUGGAAUUCCUGGUGUAGCGGUGAAAUGCGCAGAUAUCAGGAGGAACACCGGUGGCGAAGGCGGGUCUCUGGGCCGAUACUGACGCUGAGGAGCGAAAGCGUGGGGAGCGAACAGG
rnacentral:rRNA from 1 species